rnacentral:rRNA from 1 species
CCUACGGGGGGCAGCAGUGAGGAAUAUUGGUCAAUGGGCUUACGCCUGAACCAGCCAAGUCGCGUGAGGGAAGACUGCCCUAUGGGUUGUAAACCUCUUUUGUCAGGGAGCAAUUGGCGCUACGUGUAGCGUUAUCGAGAGUACCUGAAGAAAAAGCAUCGGCUAACUCCGUGCCAGCAGCCGCGGUAAUACGGAGGAUGCGAGCGUUAUCCGGAUUUAUUGGGUUUAAAGGGUGCGUAGGUGGUUAAUUAAGUCAGCGGUGAAAGUUUGUGGCUCAACCAUAAAAUUGCCGUUGAAACUGGUUGACUUGAGUAUAUUUGAGGUAGGCGGAAUGCGUGGUGUAGCGGUGAAAUGCAUAGAUAUCACGCAGAACUCCGAUUGCGAAGGCAGCUUACUAAACUAUAACUGACACUGAGGCUCGAAAGUGUGGGUAUCAAACAGGAUUAGAUACCCGAGUAGUC